rnacentral:rRNA from 1 species
AGAGUUUGAUCCUGGCUCAGAACGUACGCUGGCGGCACGCCUAACACAUGCAAGUCGAACGAAGUAGCAAUACUUAGUGGCAGACGGGUGAGUAACAUGUGGGUAUCUACCCUUUGGCCUGGAAUAACACGAGGAAACUUGUGCUAAUACCGGAUAAGUCUUUACGGAGAAAGCUUUAUGCACCAUUGGAUGAGCCCGCACUUGAUUAGUUUGUUGGUAGGGUAAUGGCCUACCAAGACUAUGAUCAAUAGCUGAUUUGAGAGGAUGAUCAGCCACAUUGGGACUGAGACACGGCCCAAACUCCUACGGGAGGCAGCAGUGGGGAAUCUUGCACAAUGGAGGAAACUCUGAUGCAGCGAUGCCGCGUGAGUGAAGAAGGCCUUUGGGUUGUAAAGCUCUUUCGUCGGGGAAGAAAAUGACUGUACCCGAAUAAGAAGGUCCGGCUAACUUCGUGCCAGCAGCCGCGGUAAUACGAAGGGACCUAGCGUAGUUCGGAAUUACUGGGCUUAAAGAGUUCGUAGGUGGUUGAAAAAGUUGGUGGUGAAAUCCCAGAGCUUAACUCUGGAACUGCCAUCAAAACUUUUCAGCUAGAGUAUGAUAGAGGAAAGCAGAAUUUCUAGUGUAGAGGUGAAAUUCGUAGAUAUUAGAAAGAAUACCAAUUGCGAAGGCAGCUUUCUGGAUCAUUACUGACACUGAGGAACGAAAGCAUGGGUAGCGAAGAGGAUUAGAUACCCUCGUAGUCCAUGCCGUAAACGAUGUGUGUUAGACGUUGGAAAUUUAUUU